rnacentral:rRNA from 1 species
UCAUUAAAUCAGUUACUAUCCAUUGGAUAUUAAGUAUCUACAUGGAUAACUGUGGUAAUUCCAGAGCUAAUACGUGCAACAUGCCUUGACCUCACGGGAUAGGAGCAUUUUAUUAGACCAAGAUCAACGGGAUCUCGCAAGAGGUUCCUUGUGAAUGGUGACUCUGAAUAACCAAGCGAAUCGCAUAGCCUCUGUGCUGGCGAUGAGUCCUUUGAGUAACUGCCUUAUCAACUUGAUGGUAGGUUAGACGCCUACCAUGGUUGUAACGGGUAACGGGGAAUCAGGGUUCGAUUCCGGAGAGGGAGCCUGAGAAACGGCUACCACAUCCAAGGAAGGCAGCAGGCACGCAAAUUACCCACUCUUAGUACGAGGAGGUAGUGACGAAAAAUACCGGUACGGGACUCUUAGGAGGCCCCGUAAUCGGAAUGAGUACGAUCUAAAUCCUCUAACGAGGAUCAAUUGGAGGGCAAGUCUGGUGCCAGCAGCCGCGGUAAUUCCAGCUCCAAUAGCGUAUAUUAAAGUUGUUGCGGUUAAAAAGCUCGUAGUUGGAUCUCGACUCAUGUUAGGCGGUCCACCUCACGGUGGUUACUGCUUGACUGAGUUAUCUACGGAUUUGUCUUUUGAUUCUCUUAACCGAGUGUCUUGAGCGAUCCGUUCGUUUACUUUGAACAAAUUAGAGUGCUUAAAGCAGGCAUCUCGUCUGAAUAAUCUUGCAUGGAAUAAUAGAAUAUGACUUCGAGUCUAUUCUGUUGGUCUUCGGAUCCGAAGUAAUGAUU